AGUGAACGCUGGCGGUAGGCCUAACACAUGCAAGUCGAACGGCAGCACAGUAAGAGCUUGCUCUUACGGGUGGCGAGUGGCGGAUGGGUGAGGAAUACAUCGGAAUCUACUUUUUCGUGGGGGAUAACGUAGGGAAACUUACGCUAAUACCGCAUACGACCUACGGGUGAAAGCAGGGGAUCUUCGGACCUUGCGCGAUUGAAUUAGCCGAUGUCGGAUUAGCUAGUUGGCGGGGUAAAGGCCCACCAAGGCGACGAUCCGUAGCUGGUCUGAGCGGAUGAUCAGCCACACUGGAACUGAGACACGGUCCAGACUCCUACGGGAGGCAGCAGUGGGGAAUAUUGGACAAUGGGCGCAAGCCUGAUCCAGCCAUACCGCGUGAGUGAAGAAGGCCUUCGGGUUGUAAAGCCCUUUUGUUGGGAAAGAAAAGCAGCAGGUUAAUACCCCGCUGUUCUGACGGUACCCAAAGAAUAAGCACCGGCUAACUUCGUG
rnacentral:rRNA from 1 species